rnacentral:tRNA from 1 species
GGGCAUUUGGCGGAGUCUGGUUUAACGCGCUCGUCUUGAAAACGAGUACUUAUUGUCGUGAGUUCAAAUCUCACAGUGCCCG